GAGUUUGAUCAUGGCUCAGAGUGAACGCUGGCGGCGGGCCUAACACAUGCAAGUCGAGCGGCAGCACGGGUAGCAAUACCUGGUGGCGAGCGGCGGACGGGUGAGGAAUACAUCGGAAUCUGCCUUGUCGUGGGGGAUAACGUAGGGAACUUACGCUAAUACCGCAUACGACCGAGAGGUGAAAGCGGGGGAUCGCAAGACCUCGCGCGACAAGAUGAGCCGAUGUCGGAUUAGCUAGUUGGCGGGGUAAGAGCCCACCAAGGCGACGAUCCGUAGCUGGUCUGAGAGGAUGAUCAGCCACACUGGAACUGAGACACGGUCCAGACUCCUACGGGAGGCAGCAGUGGGGAAUAUUGGACAAUGGGCGCAAGCCUGAUCCAGCCAUGCCGCGUGGGUGAAGAAGGCC
rnacentral:rRNA from 1 species